UACGUAGGGUGCAGGCGUUAAUCGGAAUUACUGGGCGUAAAGCGUGCGCAGGCGGUUUGCUAAGACAGGUGUGAAAUCCCCGGGCUUAACCUGGGAACUGCAUUUGUGACUGCAUGGCUGGAGUGCGGCAGAGGGGGAUGGAAUUCCGCGUGUAGCAGUGAAAUGCGUAGAUAUGCGGAGGAACACCGAUGGCGAAGGCAGGUCUCUGGGCUGACACUGACGCUCAUGCACGAAAGCGUGGGGAGCAGACAGG
rnacentral:rRNA from 1 species